CUUGGAGCUUCUCUCCCCUCAUUGGUUUAUGACUGAGUUAAGCGUCUCCUUCUCUGACCUUGCCUUCCCAAGCUGAAUUAGACAAAUCUCCAUGUUCCCAUACUGGGGACACUGGGGAUGCAGUUGUGGAAGCUCAUGCAUAUUGACAGAGCCCUCCACUCCUGUGAGAUUUUGCCCCCAUAAUCCUGGGGACAAAGCAUGUUGCCCUUACACUCCGUUGAUAAGGGGGUCAAACACAUCUGGACACCAACAACUGGAUUGCUCAGGUUGUGACAGGGUAAUCCAACAAACCCAAGAGGAAAUGUGUAAAUUUGCUGAAGACUGUGAGGCAUUUGAGGUGAUGCUGAUAAUGUCGCUUGGUUUAACAAAUGCCCAGAGCCCAAGAUGAUGAGUGGUGUGUCUAGACUCUUACCCAUGGACAUUCUAUCACAACAGGCUUUACCUAAAGUAGACUGCAAUUGCCUCUUUUUUGAGAAGUCCAUCCUUCUCUUCCCUCCCUUCCCUUCCAUUCCCUUCCCUUCCCUUUCUUCCUUCUUUCCAGAACUACCCAUGUAGGAAUACUUGAAGGAAGAACAUUCCAGAAGGAAGGAAAAACAAAGACAAAUGCCCAAAGAGCAAGCAUGCCUUGCUUGCUCUAGGAAAAACUCAGAGCCACGUGGCUGGAACAGGGCUCUUCCAUCAGAUACAGAAAAACUUAUCUGUGGGUCUCCCAACUCCCACACCGAUGUUUCCACGAUACCAAUGCAAUCAGUGCAGGGAUACAAGAGAAAUUACUCAGAAGCAAGGCAUAAUUCUUGUGGUUAUUGUCGGGUCGUAACCAUAACAAGAGAGCAUUUGUGAGAGAGGAUAUUUAUUUGUUUGUUUGCUUGUUUUUAAUAAGGUCAUUUAUUUCUCUGGCUCGCUGUGACUGGACACUAGAUCAUUGCCGAAGAACAUUCUGGCGCUGAACGUAAUGCCUGUGGGAGCUCCGAGUGUGGGUGGUUUCAUGGGCAGGAAGUAGGAGAGAGCCGUAUUCUAUUGCAAAAACAGUCGAACCCCACAGAAACAUUUUCAGAUGUCAGGUACUCGGGGAGGAGACUGUGCCAUCUUCAGGCCUGAACGUCCAGAGCCCAGCAUCGUGUCUGGCACCAAAGAGGUUCGGUAAAUUGGAACUGAAGUUGGUUGAAGCAAACGGGAACAUUUUGUUCAUCCAAGAUGAGACAGACAAUCCAGCUGUGGGUUCCCAGCUAGUGUUUCUAGGCAGGAGUGUUGAAGGAGCU
rnacentral:lncRNA from 1 species